CUUGUAGGCGGUUUGAUAAGUCCUGUGUGAAAUCCCCUGGCUUAACCAGGGAACUGCGCCGGAUACUGUCGAACUAGAGGCCGGGAGAGGGAAGCGGAAUUCCCAGUGUAGCGGUGAAAUGCGUAGAUAUUGGGAGGAACAUCGGUGGCGAAGGCGGCUUCCUGGACCGGUUCUGACGCUAAAGAGCGAAAGCUAGGGUAGCAAACA
rnacentral:rRNA from 1 species